CCGGCUAACUCCGUGCCAGCAGCCGCGGUAAUACGGGGGGUGCAAGCGUUGUUCGGAAUUAUUGGGCGUAAAGCGUGCGUAGGCGGACCAUUAAGUCUGAUGUGAAAUCCCUCGGCUCAACCGAGGACGUGCAUUGGAUACUGGUGGUCUUGAGUCCCGGAGAGGAGAGCGGAAUUCCUAGUGUAGAGGUGAAAUUCGUAGAUAUUAGGAGGAACACCAGUGGCGAAAGCGGCUCUCUGGACGGUGACUGACGCUGAGGUACGAAAGCAUAGGUAGCAAACAGGAUUAGAUACCCUGGUAGUCUAUGCCGUAAACGAUGGACACUAGUUGGUGCGGGUAUUGACCCCUGCGCUGACGAAGCUAACGCAUUAAGUGUCCCGCCUGGGGAGUACGGCCGCAAGGCUAAAACU
rnacentral:rRNA from 1 species